rfam:Schistosoma margrebowiei strain Zambia genome assembly, scaffold: SMRZ_scaffold0003153
AGCCUUCUUAAUUUGUGCCGAGAUUUUGUCAGACACCAGACUAUCAGUAGUGAUGAAACUCCCAAAAUAAGUGAAGCA